CAGAGGUCCCAAGCGUUGUUCGGAUUCACUGGGCGUAAAGGGGUGCGGUAGGUAGGGCCAGGUAAAGUUUCGGUGUGAAAGCUCGGAGCUUAACUCCGAAAUGGCAUUGAAUACUAUCUGGCUAGAGGGUCGGAGGGGAGACUGGAAUUCUCGGUGUAGCAGUGAAAUGCGUAGAUAUCGAGAGGAACACCAGUGGCGAAGGCGAGUCUCUGGACGACUCCUGACACUGAGGCACGAAAGCCAAGGGAGCAAACAGGAUUAGAUACCCUGGUAGUCUUGGCUGUAAACGGUGCACGUUUGCUGUAAAAGGAAUCGACCCCUUUUGUGGCGAAGCUAACGCGAUAAACGUGCCGCCUGGGGAGUACGGUCGCAAGAUUA
rnacentral:rRNA from 1 species